GCGUAAGCGCACGCAGGCGGUCUGUCAAGUCGGAUGUGAAAUCCCCGGGCUCAACCUGGGAACUGCAUUCGAAACUUGGCAGGCUAGAGUCUUGUAGAGGGGGGUAGAAUUCCAGGUGUAGCGGUGAAAUGCGUAGAGAUCUGGAGGAAUACCGGUGGCGAAGGCGGCCCCCUGGACAAAGACUGACGCUCAGGUGCGAAAGCGUGGGGAGCAAACAGGAUUAGAUACCCUGGUAGUCCACGCCGUAAACGAUGUCGACUUGGAGGUUGUGCCCUUGAGGCGUGGCUUCCGGAGCUAACGCGUUAAGUCGACCGCCUGGGGAGUACGGCCGCAAGGUUAAAACUCAAAUGAAUUGACGGGGGCCCGCACAAGCGGUGGAGCAUGUGGUUUAAUUCGAUGCAACGCGAAGAACCUUACCUACUCUUGACAUCCAGAGAACUUAGCAGAGAUGCUUUGGUGCCUUCGGGAACUCUGAGACAGGUGCUGCAUGGCUGUCGUCAGCUCGUGUUGUGAAAUGUUGGGUUAAGUCCCGCAACGAGCGCAACCCUUAUCCUUUGUUGCCAGCGGUUAGGCCGGGAACUCAAAGGAGACUGCCAGUGAUAAACUGGAGGA
rnacentral:rRNA from 1 species